AAUCAUCUACCCUAAAUCUAGUUCGAAACCCUAUCCGCCUCCAAAUUCCCAACCCACCGGCUGGCGGCGCCACUCCAAACACUCUCCAUAUUAUAAGUGGACAACCACCAUACCUUCCCAUCCUAUAUCUAUCAUCGAUUUCCAAAAUCUUUACCAAUUUCAGAUCUAAGACUCUGAAAGAAAAUAAGAGAUAAGACGAAGGGAAUAAGAGAUAUUUAGUGAACAUGUAUGUUAGGCCGAUAAACCGCCCAUUAACCGCCCU
rnacentral:lncRNA from 1 species